GAUGAACGCUGGCGGCGUGCCUAAUACAUGCAAGUCGAGCGAACGGACGAGAAGCUUGCUUCUCUGAUGUUAGCGGCGGACGGGUGAGUAACACGUGGAUAACCUCCCUAUAAGACUGGGAUAACUUCGGGAAACCGUCGCUAAUACCGGAUAAUAUUUUGAACCGCAUGGUUCAAAAGUGAAAGACGGUCUUGCUGUCACUUAUCGAUGGAUCCGCGCUGCAUUAGCUAGUUGGUAAGGUAACGGCUUACCAAGGCAACGAUGCAUAGCCGACCUGAGAGGGUGAUCGGCCACACUGGAACUGAGACACGGUCAAGACUCCUAAGGGAGGCAGCAGUAGGGAAUCUUCCGCAAUGGGCGAAAGCCUGACGGAGCAACGCCGCGUGAGUGAUGAAGGUGUUCGGAUCGUAAAACUCUGUUAUUAGGGAAGAACAUAUGUGUAAGUAACUGUGCACAUCUUGACGGUACCUAAUCAGAAAGCCACGGCUAACUACGUG
rnacentral:rRNA from 1 species